rnacentral:lncRNA from 1 species
CUCACAACUUCACAAAGAAAGUGUAAUUGCUGCAGAAGUCUUUGUGCAACUGAGGAAGCCCAUCUCUAAGAACAAUGAUAAGAAACCCACCCUGAACUUUUUCAACAGGGCACAGUCUGGGGAUUUGAAGGCAUUCAGCAAAUGCUGUUCAACGAAGAAAUGAAUAAGAAGCUGUCAGAAUAUUUAAGACAUAUGGUGCAUAGGCCUCCCACCAAAGAAGUGACAGCA